UUUAAAGGAACUGAGAAGGGAGAGUAAUUUUCGCAAGGUUUUUCUCCCUGCAAAUAAAUACUGAUAAAGUUGAAGAUCUGAGGCAUGAACCCACAUAGACUGGCUACCACUCAGUAGUCUUAACCACUACACAGCGCUGCUUUUCCAGGAUGCAUAUAUAGUUGUAUAUUUAAGGAUAUAUAUAUAUAGCUUAAGGUGGCCAGGCAUGGUGGAUCACAUCUGUAAGCCCAGCACUUUGGAAGGCCAAGAUGGGUGGAUCAGGAGUUCAAGACGAGCCUGCCCUACAUGGUGAAACCCCAUCUCUACUAAAAAUACAAAAAUCAGGUGCUCAUAAUGGUGUAAGCCUGUAGUCCCAGCUAUUCGGGAGGCUGAAGCAGGAGAAUCUCUUGAACCCGGGAGGUGGAGGUUGCAGUGAGCUGAGAUCACGCCACUGCACUCCAGCCUAGGUGACAAAGCAAGGGCUCUGUCUCCAAAAAAAAAAAAAAAAAAAAAAAAAUGAAAGUCUUUACCUAGCCACAAGGAUACAUUGUAUCUACUAAUUGUAUAUUUCUCCCUGUAUCCUGGAUAGCACCAUAAUUCAUCUCUAUUCUAACUUUGGUAUCUGGGAACCACGUUAAAUGCCACUUUCUUUUCAACCCAGAUCUACUGAGUCUCCAAAUUGUCUAUUCUGCUUAUUAUGUUUAUAUACCUCCCCACUUCCAGUUUUGGCCAAUCCAUUGCUUUUGCUUUGGUUUAGACCUUUAUUUUUCUUCUACUGGUUGAUAGGGGCAGCUUCCCAAGGCGUCACUCUGGCUCUAGCUUAGUCCUUCCCCAACACACUCUUUAUACUAGCAUCACCAUGUUGUGUCAAGGACUAAAAUUGAGAUGUGAUCUUCUAUAACUAGAAAGUCAAAGACAAUUCAAGGUUGUCAGAAUUAGGCACAUAUUUUGCUUUCCUUAUACAUGAAUAGCAUUUUCUCAACUGUCGAAUCAGUAGCAUUUCCAGCAAGUUUGAAUCUAUUUUUAUAUAAAGUAAUGUGAAUGGAUUAGAUUAAGAUAGCAAUUGGGGAGGGAUUUCAGAACUCUGGGCAGUAACUGAAUAAACAUCAUUUGGAUCACAGAAUGUUCCACCUUUGAAGAUUGCCAAUAGUAUUUGUUAUCUUUGAAGCUGUCUACUCAUCAUGCUGAAUGUCCUCAGAAUUUUUAAGGACACUCAGAGAAUGCUACCUCUAUCCAGAUAGUCAGAGGAAUGCCAUAUGAACUUCUCUGUUAUUCCUCCAGAUGUCCUUGGGAGUUACAAGGAAGAAUGUGUAUUUCCUAAAGGUCCAUAUCCAUAAUUUAUCUAGGUUUGGGAAAAAUUAUCUGUUAUUAUCCUUUUGAAUAAACUGUCUACCCCUAUCUCUUUUCCUACCUCCAUUUUAAGGCCAAUAACUCUUAGAUUUGCCAUUUUGAUGCUAUUUUCUAUAUCCUGUAAGUGUGCUUCAUUGUUUUUCAUUGUUUUCUCUUUUGUCUCCUCUGACUAUUUUCAAAUCACCUGUCUUCAAGCUCACUAAUUCUUUUUUUCUACUUGAUCAAUUCUGUUAAGCGAGUGUUAAAAGACUAUGAUGCAGUCUUCAGUAUGCCAAUAGCAUUUUUUAGCUUCAGAAUUUCUGCUUCAUUCUUGUAAAUUAUUUUAAUCUUUUUGUUAUAUUUGUCUGAUAUAAUUCUAAAUUCCUUCUCUGUGUUGUCCUAAAUUUCUUGAGUUUCCUCAAAACAGCUAUUUUGAAUUCUCUGUCUGAAAGGUCAGAUAUUUCUGUUUCUCCAGGAUUGAUUCCUGGUGCUUAAGUUAGUUCAUUUAUUGAAGUCAUGUUUUCCUGGGUGGUCUUGAUACUUAUAAAUAUUUGUCUGUUUCUGGGCAUUGUAGAGUUGGGUAUUUAUUGUAGUCUUCUCAGUCUGGGCUUGUUUGUACCUAUCCUUGUUGGGAAAUCCUUCCAUAUAUUCAAAGUACUUGAGUGUUGUGCUCUGAGCUGUAUCUGCAUUAGGGGUUACCCAACCACAGUAACACUGUGGUUUUUGAAGAUCCACAGGGGCAUUUCCUUGAUGGUCUUAGACAAAAUCCAGGAGAAUUCUCUGGAUUUACAGGCAGAGAUUCUUAUUCUCUUUCUUCAGUUUCUACCAAACAAAUGAAGUCUCUCUUUGUUAUGAGACACUUAGAGCUGGUGGUGGAGUGACACAAGCACCUCUGUGACUACCACCACUAGGAAUGUGCUAGAUCAUACCUGAAGCCAGUACAGCACUGGUUCUCACCCAAGACCUGCUGUAAUCACUCAAUGGCUACUCCUUAUGUUCAUUCUAGGCCCUGAAGCUCUACAGUCAGCCAAUGGCGAAGCCAACCCAGCUUGUGUCCUUCCCUUCAAGGCGACGGGAUUCCCCAGGUCCUUAGACAUCUUCAUGGGGUUCUAUUGUACUGUGGCUGAGCUGACACUCAAACCAUGAGACAUAGUGCUUCACAUUCAUCCCUCUCCUUUCCAAAGGCAGAGGAGUCUCUGCCAUCACAGCCCACAGACAGUACUGACAGAUGACUGUCAUUGUUCCUUUAAGGCCCCAUGUCUCUUCAGUCAAUUUGUAUUUGAUGCUGCCUGUGCUGGUACUCACCAUUCAGGGCAACAGACUCCACUGUGGUCCAGGGCAGGUCCGGAAAUGCUGUCUAAGAGCCAACCCAAGAGCCUCCUUGGUGUUCUACUCCACUGUGGAUGAGCUGGUAACUAAAAGAACUGCUCUCUCUACCAUACCGCCACCGCUGGGGACUGGAGGAAGGGUGUCAUCAGUGACUCAAGACUAUUUUUCCUACCACUUCAGUGCCUCUUUCAUCAAUAUGAAUGUAAAACCAGAUACUUUGAUUGCUCACUUGAUUCUUGGUUUUUAUAAAGUAGAUUUUUUUGUGUGUGUA